rnacentral:rRNA from 1 species
UGGGGAAUUUUGGACAAUGGGCGCAAGCCUGAUCCAGCAAUGCCGCGUGCGGGAUGAAGGCCUUCGGGUUGUAAACUGCUUUUUUACGGAACGAAAAAGCUCUCUCUAAUACAGGGGGUGAAUGACGGUACCGUAAGAAUAAGCACCGGCUAACUACGUGCCAGCAGCCGCGGUAAUACGUAGGGUGCAAGCGUUAAUCGGAAUUACUGGGCGUAAAGCGUGCGCAGGCGGUUUUGUAAGACAGAGGUGAAAUCCCCGGGCUCAACCUGGGAACUGCCUUUGUGACUGCAAGGCUGGAGUGCGGCAGAGGGGGAUGGAAUUCCGCGUGUAGCAGUGAAAUGCGUAGAUAUGCGGAGGAACACCGAUGGCGAAGGCAAUCCCCUGGGCCUGCACUGACGCUCAUGCACGAAAGCGUGGGGAGCAAACA